rnacentral:rRNA from 1 species
UACGUAGGUGGCAAGCGUUGUCCGGAUUUACUGGGCGUAAAGGAUGCGUAGGCGGAUAUUUAAGUGAGAUGUGAAAUUCCCGGGCUUAACUUGGGAGCUGCAUUUCAAACUGGAUAUCUAGAGUGCGGGAGAGGAGAAUGGAAUUCCUAGUGUAGCGGUGAAAUGCGUAGAGAUUAGGAAGAACACCAGUGGCGAAGGCGAUUCUCUGGACCGUAACUGACGAUGAGGCAUGAAAGCGUGGGUAGCAAACAGG